CCUACGGGAGGCAGCAGUGGGGAAUAUUGGACAAUGGGCGCAAGCCUGAUCCAGCCAUGCCGCGUGAGUGAUGAAGGCCUUAGGGUUGUAAAGCUCUUUUACUCGGGAAGCGGUACCGAGAGAAUAAGCCCCGGCUAACUUCGUGCCAGCAGCCGCGGUAAUACGAAGGGGGCUAGCGUUGUUCGGAUUUACUGGGCGUAAAGCGCACGUAGGCGGAUCAUUAAGUCAGGGGUGAAAUCCCGGGGCUCAACCUCGGAACUGCCUUUGAUACUGGCGAUCUUGAGUUCGGGAGAGGUGAGUGGAACUGCGAGUGUAGAGGUGAAAUUCGUAGAUAUUCGCAAGAACACCAGUGGCGAAGGCGGCUCACUGGCCCGUCUGACGCUGAGGUGCGAAAGCGUGGGGAGCAAACAGGAUUAGAUACCCUUGUAGUC
rnacentral:rRNA from 1 species